rnacentral:rRNA from 1 species
AAUCAACGCUGGCGGCGUGCCUCAGACAUGCAAGUCGAACGAUUAAAGCUCUCUUCGGAGAGUGUAUAGAGUGGCGCACGGGUGAGUAACACGUAAGUAAUCUACCUUCGAGUGGGGAAUAACGUCCGGAACGGACGCUAAUACCGCAUAAUGCAGCGGCAUCGCAAGAUGACAGUUGUUAAAGGAAUUUAUUUCGCUUGAAGAGGAGCUUGCGGCAGAUUAGCUAGUUGGUAAGGUAAUGGCUUACCAAGGCUACGAUCUGUAACCGGUCUAAGAGGACGGUCGGUCACACUGACACUGAAUAACGGGUCAGACUCCUACGGGAGGCAGCAGUCGGGAA